rnacentral:sRNA from 1 species
UGCAUUUAGCGCCCACCACAGCAACGUUCCAGGUUUGUCUGUGGUUAAACGUCCUUCCAUGUAACAAUGACUGGCCAACAGUGGCGUUUCGGAUUGGUUUGUUGUUUCUACAAAUAGCCUGAGAUCUGUCAAAGGAGUCUUUUGCUGUUUCAACGAAAGAUGAUGCGAAGCUGCGAGUGUCCAUCUACUGGCCGCCUCAUUUCCGCAAGCAACAACCAGUUCUCACAAGUACCUUUCCUUUGAUCUUUUCUGUCAUUCUUUAUUUAUUUACAGUUGAAUUCCUCCUCCGUCCUUUAAUUUUUUUUUAUAAUUUUAUAUCCUUUGGAUUCAUAGCAUCUUUGGUUCUUCACUACGCCAUUUUCCCUAUCUUUUUUAAUAUCACUCCAUUUAAUCCUAACCCACAUCAAUACUCCCGUUCAUUCAAGCAAAUAUACAGUGGCUUCAGAGAAAUGGCCGCUCAGAUCGCUGGCGUCGUCUCUAAAAAGCUAUUGAAGGAGUCAGCCGAGAAUCGAUUUGGGCAAGAGGACCCAUACUUCGAAACAGUACAUGCAACGAACCUCUUAGGGCGUCCGACGACGAAAAAGAAGCGCAAGGCUGCACCAGAAGGCAUAUCAGCCCGCGAUGCGAAGAUACUUACCAAGGUGAAGCGGCGGGCAUAUAGAUUGGACCUCUGCCUUUUCAAUUUCUGCGGAAUUCGCUUCGGAUGGAGCAGUGUCAUUGGUCUUGUUCCGGCAAUCGGUGAUGCACUUGAUAUGUUUAUGGCCCUGAUGGUGGUAAACACCUGUAACAAAAUAGAAGGCGGUCUCCCUGCGCGCCUUCGAAUGUGGAUGCUCUUCAAUAUCGUUAUCGAUUUCUUCAUCGGCUUGAUUCCUUUCAUCGGCGACCUUGCAGAUGCUGUCUAUAAAUGCAAUACCCGGAACGCCGUCCUCCUCGAAAAUCUGCUGAAAGAGCGCGGGGAGGAAAACCUUAAGCAUACAGGUUUACCACUGCACGAGUCUGCGCGUAUUGAUACCAGUCACGGCACACGACCAACGACUAAAAAUUCAGGACUUAAGUCUUCUCCACCAAGAAACGACUCACCUUCUCGACCACAACCAGCACGAACUCACAUGGGCGGGCCGUCGUCGAGAAAUCCUGCUCCAUCUGCAGAGCGCAAGAGGGAGCCAGAUAUCGAAAUGGGGAGGAUGUAACCCAUUUCCUUUUUACUUCUUUCUUGUAUUGUCUGCUUUCACAUACCCAUUAGUUGUAUUGGCAUUAUCAUAAUAUAUAACGGAGCGAGCUAUUUCAUAUAUCUCGUUUCAAUAUCUAAGAGAUAUAAUAACACUUUAUCAACAAGAAUGCAAAACAUUUCAGAGUUCGGGAGUUCGUGUAACAUUCGCCCCGAAUGGAAUUGGGAUGCUGCAUGUCCAAGUAGUAUGCCUGACGUAUCAAAUCAUCAAAAUUCCGAAUAUGGGAUGGCAGCAAUCCAGGAUAUAGCUAUGUGGCGAGGCUAGCAGCCUGUCUCACAACCAGAUAUUAUUCUAGCCCCACGUUUGAUGCAGAAUGGUAUCGAUUUCGUAUAUGUAUAUAUCAUCUUUGUGGAGUUAUGGAUGCAGAAGUUCGGAGAGACAUGGAGAAAAGGUCUCCAUUUCCAACAAAAAAG